GGUAUUAUAUAUUAUAUUAUUAUUGUAUGCCAAUACACCUAUUUAUUGUAGGGCGUUCGCUAUUAGAAUUGUUAAAUAGUUUGCAGUGUUAGACAGUAGGUAUACAAAAAAUAGAACAGACAAUGAGUGUAUGGAGAUAGGAUAAAAAACGAAUACAUAAAAUGUACCAAGCUUAGGUGUAGCUCCGAUACGAGAAAAUACCUUUAGGUACCUGCAUAGAUGGUUUGGGUACGUCACGAGCAGAGGGAAAUCGGAAACAAUAAGAAUGGUAGGUGGUAAUGACAAUAAACUCGGAAGGAAACAAUUUAAUAGGAAGAUCGAACGUCAGGUGGUUGGAUGCGAUUGAAAAUAAUACGAUGGCAACCGGUGUAUGCGAGGAGGUUGUGGGAGAUUGGCUCAAGUAGAAGUUUAGAAAGAGGGUGGCUGAUCCCGAAAAAACGAAGAAAAAUAACUACGAAUAGGUAGCUACCUACCUGCGUAAGUACUUUAUUAAUGAUCGAAUUGUGUGGAGGUUUUAUUUCAUGCUUCACAGUUCACAG